GCAGCAGCAGCAGCACACUGAGAUGGUUAACACUGUACAUAACCUCCUCGCAAAUUGUACAGCUUCAGCAGCAACACAUCCAUUAGUCUGGAAAAGACAGCGUUCCCAAGUGGCUCCUGUGCAUUUCCCCCCCAAAUUCUCUUAUCGCCAGCCAAUCCUCUCAGCUCUUGCCCUGCAUGCAGGGAGUGUUCAGCACUAAUCAGGUCAAUGAUCAUCCCAAUACUCAGGGGACCUGACAUGAGCCUAUCGCCCUAGUUUGAUGAUCGCCCUGACCAGGAGGCACAGUGGCUGGAUGCUUUUUUUUCUGUUGAAAUAAAAAGAUCAUACUGGCAGAAGUGGCAGUAUCCUCAUUCACUACAAGAGAAGCACUCAGGAUUUCAGCUUGUCGUUUCUCUUGGCUGUAUAGUCAGUGAGAGAGAGAAGGGGGG